rnacentral:lncRNA from 1 species
GGAGAUUCAAAUUUUUCAUCGAUUGCGAAUUUGUCUAUUUCUAACAUUCUGUAAACUUAUUAAGCUUAUUAAUUAAUUUCAUCACAACUAGUUUCAAGGUCUCAUUAGAUGCUCUGUCAUGGUGUAAAUAGGAAACACCAAAGAAGAAUAGCCCAAAGAGGUUAUAGUAAAAUGAAAAAGGGGGAAAUGCCAACAAACCUAUAAUUGCUUAAAGUAAUAAAAGCAAUGAGUUGCGGAAAAAUGCAAAAUAAAACUCAAGAUUUUCUUUUAAGGAUAAAGGUAAGGCUAAGAAAAGGUAGUUACAAUGCACGAUUUUUAGUUGUAUGGUGAAGAAACAAAUUUGCCUAAUCAAUUGAAAGAUAAAUCUAGUCUUAAGUGGAAACUCUAACCUUUAUGACGCUACUUCAAGAUCAAUCUGUCUCAAACUUUCCCAUAAAAUUGCAGAAGCUAUGACCAAAGUUUAGCAAGAAAAUGGCUCAAAAAUCUCCCCAAACUGGUAGCUUGCAGAGACAACUCGGCUUAAGAGGUGACUUAUAAUUUCAAAUACAGUAACCGGAACGUAAAAUCCACACGUCUUUCUUGUGAUUUUUAAUGGUCAGGUUUCCAGCCAUGGGUUCCUCUUAUAGAUUCUGGUUCAAAGAUUGAUUCUCGUCGAUAUUACCGGGAAUGAUGGAUUUUGGCACGGCAACCAUAUAGGCAACUUUAAGCAGCGAUUGCAGCAGUUUUCUGCAAAGUUAGAGGUUGAGACUUUGGUGGGUACGCUGGUUGGUUGCCUCUGGUGUUGAUGGCAGUGGUAGUAAUGCCCACCUCCAAGCAGUGGCCGCUAAAUGGUUGUAGCUGAUGGCCUCUGUCUAGAAUACAGUCACUACUGCGCUUAGCUUCAGUUUUACAGUUUGAAAGGCUACUGUUUUGGCAGUAGGUUGUGAAGUUUGGACAAAUAUUAUAGUACCGCAAUAAAUCAAAGUUAGACUCUGAUUCCAAUUGAUGUAGGACAACAAAAAAACUUCUAACAUAAUACUUAAAAAAAAUUUAUUAAGAAUCAAAAUUGG